rnacentral:tRNA from 1 species
GGUGGCUCAGUGGUUGAGUGCUUGUCUUGCAUGCAUGAGGCUCUGGGUUCGAUUCCUCAGCACCA